UAAAAAUAAUGUUUUGCACUCUAUUCUCUGAAAUACUCGUAUUUUGGCUGUAUCCAUCCACCACUGCUUCCAUCCAGGUUGUCCUAGUGUCCCCAUCUCUGUCUCCCUCCCAACUUCAGCUGUGGUCACUCAUAAUCCUGAGUCUAAUUAGUGCUGCUCAAAUAUACAUGGCUGUGUGUCCAUACACUGCACACCCAGAGUUUCACCUGUGUGCUGGACCUCAAGCCCUCCAGGUUUACACAGCAAGCAUGUUACAGACGGAGCACUACCCCCAGACCCAGCGGAUGUUUUAAAAUCACAACCUUUCCUCUGUUACCGCUUUGCCCUUGAUUUCAUUACUGGAAACAAACAAACAAAGAAAGAAAUAAAAACAAAAAACAACUCCACAAGAUCCCACAGGAGACAGCGCCUGCCUACCAACCUCCUCCCACACAAACACUGCCUUUCUUUUCAGAGCAUUGUUCCCCGUGAGGAGACAUGCUUGCCACAGCGCAAGCGUGGAGGUCAGAGGGCAACUUUCAGGAAGGCUCUGUUCUCUUCGGGUCGUGCAGCUUUCACCCACAGAGCCAACUCCGUGGUCGAUAUUCCCAGCUUCGACCUGCUUCAGAGACGCAUGCUAUGGUUUCUCUGCUCCCAUGCUCGCCCUCACUCCUCCAUGCAGUCUCACGUUGGGUGCACCCCACAUGUAACACCCCGAGGUUCUGAGAGCUUUGAAGAUGCAUGCGACUGACCACUAAACCCAAGCGCUUGUCGCACUUGAUCCUCCCCGGGAGAUGAGCCACCAGUUGGGACAAUCCGUGCUUGCCCACUCCGGCUGCGGCUCUCACUACUGAGCUGCCAGCUGGCGGCCAAGUCCAUUUGGACCAUUGAUUGUGACUGAUUACAUGCCUUAAUUAAACACGGAAACACAUCAUGAAAUAUCAGAGCAGAACGAAUGUCUCGUGCAACCAAACUGACUGCUUUGGACAAGGUGGAACAUGUUUUUGAGAAACUUUAAAAAAAACCUCUAUGGCAUCAUAUAACUUCGGGAAUUAAAAUCAUGUUUCUUAAAAACUAGCAACUUAGGAAUUUUAGAUUUCUUGUCAAAUGCCUUUAAGCUUUUCUGCCAUUUCUAAUAACUUGGAAACAAUGAGUAUACACACACACACACACACACACACACACACACACACAUAUAUAUCUGACACUGGAAAGCUUUGGUGAUAUCGAUCCACUGAUAAACAAUGACAGUAAUCAGUUGAAGAGUCACGCGCUCACACUCAAGAAUGCUACACACUUUGCCCUUCUAAGACACCCCAAGCUUCAGUGGUUUCUAAGCGACAAGUAUCUCCAGCAGUUGGAUACACCGGAAAGGAGAGGGCUCUCUGUACGUGCUGCGGUACGGAGCUGCGUGAACUUCUUUUUCUCGCUGGAUUAUAAACUUCCUGAUGGUAGUACCCAAGACCCCUUUCCUCACUGUUGUAACCUCGUUACUAAAUUCAUAAAGAUAGAAAUAUUAUAUAUCAAAGAAUUGACUCUCGGUAAAACUGAUCUGAAUGAGUAACCAGUAGCUGAGGCGAAUCGUAGGUUGGGCUGGGAAUGUAGCUCAGUGGGAGAGGGCUUGUCUAGCAUGUAGGAAGCCCUGGGUUUAAUCCUCGGCAGCACAACAAUAAGGGGAAGUUGGGCUGGUUUGAAUAUAACAUCACUUAUGUUAAAUUGAUUAUUAUUAAUUCCAAAAAGUUGCCCGUAAAUCUUUUUUUUUCUUCGUGAGAUGAUAUGGGUUCUUAACCCAAUAAUGGAAAGAUCACUUGUGUAAAAUUUUAAAAAAUUAACUUUUAUUUAUUUAAAAAUAACAUCGUGCCACAUAAGAAGAUUUCAGCCUUCUCAUUUAGGAACUAUAUUUAAUGUUAUGCGAUUAGGUUUCCCUAGGGACCCAGCCCUGAUCACCAUAUCCUUAUUAAGGCAAGUAUAUGCCGCGUCCCAACUCACCCCCUGUAAUGAAAAGCAGUUACUGUGCUCUAUUUAUUCUCUUCCUUCCAAGAAAUUCAAAGCCACCAGUGUCUUCUGAAGAGGGACUGUUAAAUGUAAAAUUGGGAACAUAACUGGACUGAAUUUUUAUUAACGAGAUAAAAAAGAUGUUAAUAGGAAAACCAAGCUAUCUUGAGUCCAGGCACAAGAUGACUCCGUGAUAAUUCUUAUAAACCACGCUGAGUUUUACCAGGAAAAAAAAAACUUAUAAACACUUAAAAUUCCAAAAAGGCAGGAGGGGCGUAUUAUAUUUAUGGAAGGUUCUUGUCUUUUCAGAUCCUCUAUCAUGGAGCUGCGGCAAACAAAGAUAGCUUUUAAUUACGGCACUUAGCUGAUUUACAAAUUGACAAAUCCAAGAGAAAAAAAAAAAGAAACAAGCCACACAAGAACGUUCAAGAGCGGUUAGGACAGAAGGCAGGAUGUGGGCCAUACAUCAGAGCCAGAAAUGCACAGGGAUAAUGGUGUCAGUGUGGCCCCAACCUUUCAGUCAAUUAUGAGGAAUUGCUAAAGACAAGGAAACGUUAAGUCAUCAUGACCGUGGCCAGCACUCACACAUAUAAACAGAUGCGCACACAUGCUCCUGCACCCACGCACACACAGACGCUCUUCCAUGGGCUUUUAAAUAGUUUGAAACAUUGUAACUGUAUUCCCAAGCCUUAUCUUAUUUUUUUCUGCUUCUUAACCCUGGUACCCAUAAAACAUUGUUUAAAUGGUUGCAUAAGUUAAACCCAAUAUCAUCAGGUUUGACUACCAUCCUAUAAUACACCACCUCCCCAUUUAGUGUAGAAUGUGUGCUCCAGAAAUCCGGCCCCCUCCCAUCCCUAAAUGAGUUCCAGCUUCAGUGAGAUAGCCUAUCUCAAGAACUAAAGUGAGAGGGCUGGAGAGAUGGCUCAGUGGUUAAGAGCCCUGUCUGUUCUUCCAGAGGACUCAGGUUCAAUUCUCAGCACCCUCGUGACAGCUCACAGAUACUUCAGUUCCAGGUGACCCAAGAUCCAGUUCUGUCUUCUGACCUCUGUGGGCAGCAGGCACACACAUAGUAUAGAGACAUACAGACAGGCACAGAAACCCAAACACACGGAAUGUUUAAUCAUGUGGAGAGCAAUAGAGGAAGACACACAAUCAAACUCUGUAAUCCACACGGAUGCAUACAUGAACGUGUAUACCCACAAACAAUGAGGUUUUAUAACUUUUAUUUGCAUGUUAUUUGCAUUUGUUUUAGGUGUAUUCUGCAUUCCAUAUAUACAAACAUAUAUACACACACAGUAUAUGUAUCUAUACAGAUGUAUAAGCUGGGAGGAGUUGAGAUAGUAUCUAAUGUAAUGUAUGGCUGGUCUUGACUUUGCUAUGUAGUCAAGGGUGACCUCGAACUUCUGAUUCCAUCUUCCAAGACUGUAGGCAUGGGCAAAGAGUUCCAAUUGAUUAGUGACAGUUGAUUUAAUAAAUUGUAUGUAUGUAUGUAUGUAUGUGUGUGUGUGUAUGUGUGUAUGUAUGUGUGUGUAUGUAUGUGUGUAUGUGUAUAUGUAUGUAUGUAUGUGUGUGUAUGUAUGUGUGUAUGUAUGUGUGUAUGUGUGAUUUCUGAUCUCCCUCCCCCACAUACAUACAUAAAUACCAGGAGGGCUGAGCCUACAGUUCGGUAGUUAACAGCGUGCAUACAACCUUACAUUUGGUCCCCAGCACAGUGCAGACCAGGUGUGCUGGCACAUGCCUUUCAGCACUCAGCCCACAGAGAUCGGUCAGGUCAGAAGUGUAAGAUCAUCCUCUGCUACAUACGGAUUUUGAGGCCAGCCUGUUGAGGGAGGGGCAGAGGGGGCAACGACUAGGGUCACCAUUGAGAGACCCAUGAAGCCAGUCCACACUUUCGGGUUGGCUGUGUUUACUCACUCGCUGGGCAGCUCCACCUCCCCAUCCAGUUUACAGCACUAUCAUCAUGGCCGCCGCUGCCACCACCUUCUGAGAAGAGGCCACCGGGCCAUCUUGCCUCCAACUUUAUUGCUUCAGAUCAUAAAGUCUUUCCAGGUCCAGAAAUCUAAAGCAGUGCCC